GGGAUGGGCAUUUCCAGCAGGUUGCUGUGUUGGGCAGAAGGAGCUGUUUGUGUCUUUGUCAUCUCUGAGCCCUUCUAUAUAUUCCUGAGGAAAGACAACUCUUCUAUGUAUUUCUCCCAGCACUGAUCCUAGCAUCAAAAAAUGCCCACCCUGUGUCUUUCUGAAUUUGAAUUUUGAAGAUACUGAGAACCAACAACAAAUCUUGUAAACUUUGUCGACAGCUGGGAGGAUCCAUCUUAUGGUGGUGUAAGCAAAGGACAGAACAGAUUUCCCAAGCUCUGUCUGGCUGAGUGUGGUUUUCCAUGUUCUACUGAGAAUGGUUUGCAAGGGCCAGGCCUGUUGGGAUCAAAAGAACAUGGAAGAACAAGAGCAGAGACUUGCUGCAAGCUUGUCAUUGUGUGUAAGGAUGAAUUGCUGGGUUUGUUAGGAUUUCUCCUAUGUUAUUUCUCUCAGAUGGGUUUAAUUUGAGACUUGGAUCCUUUCGAUGUAGCACUGUGAAAGGAUUUAAUUUUUGAAGUGAAAUUUGAGUGGAAUUCUGUGUAAAUCAUGUUGAAAAUUGUCUUUAACUUUUUCUCUCACAGAAGGUGUUUGUGUUCCUUGAAAAGUAAAGGAGAUCUGUUUUCAUUAAAGGAAUGAAAACUUGCAAGCUUAAAACACUAAUACACUUUGCAAGGAUUAGUCAUGUCCAGGAUCUGUACAUGAUUUCAUUGCAAAACUGUCUUUGUUCCAUAUGUAUGACAGUUUGCAGUGAAAACAAUUCCUGCUGGGUCCAUUUCUGCAGUUCUGGGUAGCUGUUACAUUUUCUGCACCAGUAUACAAAGAACCAAUACAGCUUCCUUUCUAACACAGCUAUGCCGGAAAUCCAGUCAGUAUUAAGAGCUGUCUGACUGACAGCAGAGCAGUUAAACAAAGGUGAAUCACUCACACACACGAGGGCCCUUAUCUAGAGUACAGGAACAGGUGUUCACCAACUUGUGCAUCAGAGCAGUGUUUCUUCUUUAUGGCUGAUUGCUUAAUGGUGUGACUGAGCCCUGUGUAGUCCGGUCAGUGGAACGUGAUAGGUCUCAGAGGGCUGCAAAGGUUACACGCUAUUUGGAUGAUUUUAUUCAGCUUGACAUCUGGCUUUUCAAAGCCGCAGCUUAGCCCUUUUCUGAAAUCUUUUUGAUAGCUGCGUCAUCUCAAAGAACUAUUGCCAAAAUUUUAUUCAUAUAUUUACUACUUUAUUGAAGAACUGUUUCCUUUCAGGUAUACCAGUUUGGAAUGAAAAUAUUACUUUUGUAAUGCACUUGAGUGUUUUUCAUUUUGUGUGGAUACAAAGUUUGGGCUCUCUUUCAAUCCUUUCUAUCAGAACGAACCUUUGUAAUAUAUUUGAUUGAUAGAUUUUAUUACUAUGGCUACUCCUAUUCUAUACAGCAGAUUUUCUUAGUGAGAGUAGUAUCUACCUCUGCCCUCGCUCAGCCUACUUUGUUUAUUACUCUUUAUUGUGGUAUUUUUUCCAUUGCUUUUCGUAAAAAUAGGCUUGCUAAAGAAUAAGGAGCUUCUCAUGUCUUUAAACCCCUGGUGUUCUGUACUGCUGCUUUACAGAGUGCAUAAUCAUGCGCACUGAAAUUUUGUUGCCUGAAAGUGUUAAGAAAUGAAAAUCAUAGAGAGCUUCCAUCUUAUGAGAUGGCUCUUUUUUUUUUUUUCCUUAAUUUGCAAAACUCCUUAUUUGAAAAAAAAAAAAAAUCUCAUUGGGUAAGUCACAAUGAUUUACUUGCAUGCUGCAGGCUGAUUUAAGAUGCUUAUUCGAUCAGUCUGCUUCUAAUGACACUAGAAAUACUGUAAUGGAUGGAACAUUCCUGGCCUGUUCAAAAUUGGAUUAGAUGGUUUACUAAUGUAAUACUGGCAAGCCAAAUCAGCCUGUGAUGCCAUGGGGAUUAAUCUAUAGGGAAUAUUUGAUCUCUAAUGCCCAUGUGCUAGUUGAAGUGGAGCCAUAUCUUUUGAUUUAAUAAACCUUUUUUAUAUUUC
rnacentral:lncRNA from 7 species